rnacentral:rRNA from 1 species
UUCCAGACUCCUACGGGAGGCAGCAGUGGGGAAUAUUGCACAGUGGGGGAAACCCUGAUGCAGCGACGCCGCGUGAGCGAAGAAGUAUUUCGGUAUGUAAACUUCUAUCAGCAGGGAAGAAAAUGACGGUACCUGACUAAGAAGCCCCGGCUAACUACGUGCCAGCAGCCGCGGUAAUACGUAGGGGGCAAGCGUUAUCCGGAUUUACUGGGUGUAAAGGGAGCGUAGACGGCAUGGCAAGUCUGGUGUGAAAGGCAGGGGCUCAACCCCUGGACUGCAUUGGAAACUGUCAGGCUGGAGUGCAGGAGAGGUAAGUGGAAUUCCUAGUGUAGCGGUGAAAUGCGUAGAUAUUAGGAGGAACACCAGUGGCGAAGGCGACUUACUGGACUGUAACUGACGUUGAGGCUCGAAAGCGUGGGGAGCAAACAGGAUUAGAUACCCGCGUA